GAUGAACGCUGGCGGCGUGCUUAACACAUGCAAGUCGAACGGGAAUUCUUUUAUUGCACCUUCGGUCGAUUUAAUUUAAUUCUAGUGGCGGACGGGUGAGUAACGCGUGGGUAACCUGCCUUAUACAGGGGGAUAACAGUCAGAAAUGGCUGCUAAUACCGCAUAAGCGCACAGAGCUGCAUGGCUCAGUGGGAAAAACUCCGGUGGUAUAAGAUGGACCCGCGUUGGAUUAGCUGGUUGGUGGGGUAACGGCCCACCAAGGCGACGAUCCAUAGCCGGCCUGAGAGGGUGAACGGCCACAUUGGGACUGAGACACGGCCCAGACUCCUACGGGAGGCAGCAGUGGGGAAUAUUGCACAAUGGGGGAAACCCUGAUGCAGCGACGCCGCGUGAAGGAAGAAGUAUCUCGGUAUGUAAACUUCUAUCAGCAGGGAAGAUAGUGACGGUACCUGACUAAGAAGCCCCGGCUAACUACGUG
rnacentral:rRNA from 1 species